rnacentral:rRNA from 1 species
GACCGAAGCUUAACUUCGAGUUAGUAUUUGAAACUGGCUAUCUAGAAUCAGGGAGAGGUAAGCGGAAUUCUAAGUGUAGGGGUGCAAUCCGUAGAUACUUAGAGGAACACCAAAAGCGAAGGCAGCUUACUGGAACUGCAUUGACACUGAAAAACGAAAGCGUGGGUAGCGAAAAGGAUUAGAUACCCUUGUAGUCCACGCCCUAAACGAUGAUAACUAAGUGUUGCGACGAGCUCGCAGUGCUGUAGCAAACGCGUUAAGUUAUCCACCUGAGGAGUACGGUCGCAAGAUUAAAACUCAAAGGAAUAGACGGGGACCCACACAAGCAGUGGAUCACGUGGUUUAAUUCGACAAUAAACGGGGAACCUUACCCAGACUUGACAUCCUAGGAAUACUUUAGAGAUAGAGUAGUGCUCGCAAGAGAACCUAGAGACAGGUGCUGCAUGGUUGUCGUCAGCUCGUGCCUUGAGGUGUUCGGUUAAGUCCGUUAACGAGCGCAACCCAUGUCCUUAGUUACAAUGUCUAAGGAGACUGCCUUGGUUAACAAGGAGGAAGGUGUGGAUGACGUCAAAUCAGCAUGGCUUUUACGUCUGGGGCUACACACAUGAUACAAUGGCCUGUACAAAGAGUAGUGAAACCGCGAGGUAGAACCAAUCUUGAAAGCAGGUCUCAGUCCGGAUUGGAGUCUGCAACUCGACUCCAUGAAGUUGGAAUUGCUAGUAAUCGUAAAUCAGAUAUGUUACGGUGAAUGUGUUCCUGGGUCUUGU